AGCAGUGAACGCUUUGACGAUAUCCCUCUCGUGUACUAAACCUAGCUGUCUCUAUUACAAACGUUCCUUGCUGUUGCUCUAGCCGUUCCUGUGACUUCCCUCUUGCUUCCAGUUGCCCUCUAUCUCUUCCUGAGAGAUUUUACCAAGUCUUGACUUGACCUCGUAGGACACAUAUCUUGGACUUUGGGCCACCCUCCUGCUCCUCUCAAAUUAACCUUCUCUAAUUAACAACCAAUUGCUUCUGGAUGCUGUUUCCUGAUUUCUGAAGUGACAGCUAAGUAUUUUGAGUUUUGAAUGGACUUUUUGCUGUUGUCUCAGAAUUGUGGUUAACGUCUGAGGACAGUAUGUGCUAAAUAAUCUCCAUUUGUUCACUGGACCCUAAGCAGAACUCCUAAAUCAAGGAAGAAAAUUUCAAGAGAACCACUCAGAGAUUGGAAAUGUCUAUAAGCAGGAAAAACUGGAAUCAGUCUCUAUACGGGAAAGAAAAUGGGAAAGUGGAAAUGGACAAGAGCUAUUGCAUCCAUGAAAUGGUAAUAUGACCAGUGAGAUUCCUAACCUCCAAUCCCAGAAGAUGCCUGGAAACCUGUGCCCUUUGCCAGCCUCGUGAAUUCAUAAUAGCUUGUAAACACCAAGAUUUCUGGAGCCACAUUUCCCAAUAGACUGCAAAGAGCUGGCCUUGAAAGUACAGCAUGAAGAGAAGCUGGAAAGAGCAUUCUCAGCAGUGAGGUAUGUUGAGGGACAUGAGAAUCAACUCUUUAAGAAAUCUUCAGGACUUCUGGUACAAUAUGACCAAAGAAUCAGCUGAUGCAAUUGUGCAUCUGGCUCUAUGAAUAUAUUCCCAAUAUAUAACUGCAUGUUCAAAUGUCUGAGUGUGUGUGUAUUUUAUAAUCCUCUUGCUUGUGCCCUGCUAUAUCUAAGACCCUGGAAUAAUGUUUCUUGGCUGCACUCACUUUAGAAUCAGCUGGGUAGUUUAAAAAAUUUUUGACUCCUGGGUUCCACCUCCAGAGAACCUGAUUUGAUUGGUCUAGAAUGUGGUCUGUGCACAUUCCAGACCAGUGUUCUGUAACUAUAAGCGUUAUACUUGGAACUUAAACUCUAAAUAUUAACUACUGUUUUCUCUUGUUUUUCUAUUUUUCCCCCAAUACAAAUGUCUGAGGUAGAGCUGCCCCAAGACUCUCUCUGAAUUCUACCGCUCCACUCACCAAUUUUUGCCUAUCGUAUGCAUCCCAACUUCAUGUGGCCUAUGUGGGGAAUUUCAGAUACCUCUGAGAAUCUCUUCCCUGCUUACAGUUUUAUACCACAGGAGGAAUGGAAAUUAAAACGUACACAGAAGUAGAGACUAGAACAAUGAACCCCCAUGUGCCCUUCACCCAACUUCAACAGCCAUCAACUCAUGGCCAAUCUCGUUUCAACUAUAUCCAUCCAUUCUACCACCCCCACUGCUCCCCUCCUUCCACCACCACCACUAACACUACUGGAUUAUUUUGAAGCAAAUCCCAGGUGGAAUAUAAUUUCCAUCAUGAAUUGUUCAGUAUGGAUUUCUAAA